AAAAAGAAAAUGGAAAAUGAGAAAAAUCUGGAAAAAUAAGGGAAAAAUCCUGAAAAAUUCCAGAAAAUUGGGAAAAGGUCCUGGAAAUUAUAUUGAGGCUCGUAGAGCAUACCGGAAGCUCGAGAAUGGAAUUUCGGGCAUGUGAUGGUAGCUCGGGAAGCAACGUCGGCGUGGGCGAUUAACCGAUUUUCUCUUCUCGAUUUAACCGAGGUAAGUAAAUAAAUUCUUUUUGGAAUACUUACUUUUUGUGAGUCAUCGAAUUGUGUAAUGUUGUUGGAUUUAACCCUGUGUUGGGGUUAUUUGAAAUCUUGUUGAUGGAUGAUUUGACGAUGUACGGUGUAGUUGAGGGCAUUGGUUAAAUGCCGGAUGUUAAUGGAGUUGGGGUUUUGUGUGUUUUGCAUCUAGGUUUGACCGAAGAGACGGUGAUCCUAGAGGAACUAGAGGUUCGGGCUGGAAUUCGGGCCGAGGCAGAGAUGAGGCUUCGAGCCAGAUGAUGCAAGUCCGGAUGCAAGCAGGGAUGGCGCCGGGAGGCUGUUGUGGCAACUAGCUGUGUUGCCUGAGUUAUGUAUUUUUAAUAUUGCUUGUAUGUAGUCAGGGGGCGUGGUGUAUGUAUACCCUUGUGAGUAAAUGUCUAUGUCAUUGAGCUUAAAUGUAUUUAAUUAUGUAA